GGCCCAGUAGUGUACUGGUAACACAUCCUCUUUCCUUGUGACAGCUACGAAGAAGUUUGGAGGAAGCACCCCGUUCGAUUCGGGGCUGGGCCA